rnacentral:rRNA from 1 species
UACGAAGGGUGCAAACGUUGCUCGGAAUUAUUGGGCGUAAAGCGCACGUAGGCGGCUUGGCAAGUCGGAUGUGAAAUCCCACGGCUCAACCGUGGAACUGCUUGGCAUACUGGCGGUCUUGAGCAACCUAGGGGCGAGCGGAACAAAUGGUGGAGCGGUGAAAUGCGUAGAUAUCGUUGGAACGCCAAUGGUGAAAACAGCUCGCUGGGGGUUUGCUGACGCUGAGACACGAAAGCCAGGGGAGCAAACGGG